rnacentral:rRNA from 2 species
UCUCCUGGAAACGGGUGGUAAUGCCGGAUGCUCCGACUCCUCGCAUGGGGUGUCGGGAAAGAUUUCAUCGGUAUGGGAUGGGGUCGCGUCCUAUCAGGUAGUCGGCGGGGUAACGGCCCACCGAGCCUACGACGGGUAGCCGGCCUGAGAGGGCGACCGGCCACAUUGGGACUGAGAUACGGCCCAGACUCCUACGGGAGGCAGCAGUGGGGAAUAUUGCACAAUGGGCGCAAGCCUGAUGCAGCGACGCCGCGUGCGGGAUGACGGCCUUCGGGUUGUAAACCGCUUUUGAUCGGGAGCAAGCCUUCGGGUGAGUGUACCUUUCGAAUAAGCACCGGCUAACUACGUGCCAGCAGCCGCGGUAAUACGUAGGGUGCAAGCGUUAUCCGGAAUUAUUGGGCGUAAAGGGCUCGUAGGCGGUUCGUCGCGUCCGGUGUGAAAGUCCAUCGCUUAACGGUGGAUCUGCGCCGGGUACGGGCGGGCUGGAGUGCGGUAGGGGAGACUGGAAUUCCCGGUGUAACGGUGGAAUGUGUAGAUAUCGG